rnacentral:ncRNA from 1 species
CACCGCCCGUCACACCAUGAGAGCCGGGGGGACCCGAAGUCGGUAGUCUAACCGCAAGGAGGACGCCGCCGAAGGUAAAACUGGUGAUUGGGGUGAAGUCGUAACAAGGUAGCCGUAUCGGAAGGUGCGGCUG